UACAUAGGGUGCAAGCGUUGUCCGGAUUUACUGGGCGUAAAGAGCAUGUAGGCGGAAAUUUAAGUCAAACUUGAAAUACUGGAGCUUAACUCCAGUCCGGGUUUGAUACUGGAUUUCUAGAGAAUGGGAGAGGAAAGUAGAACUAACAGUGUAGCGGUGAAAUGCGUAGAUAUUGUUAGGAAUACCCGUGGCGAAGGCGGCUUUCUGGACCACUUCUGACGCUGAGAUGCGAAAGCGUGGGGAUCAAACA
rnacentral:rRNA from 1 species